GGAGAAGGGCCUAGCUUGGCAACUCCCCAGGCUGAGGCCUUGGAUAAAGCCCCAAGCAGCUCAGGCUGCGAAAGUGUCCUCCCGCAGAAAGAAAGAGUGUUCCGCUGGGACCCUAACGGAAAAGCAAAAAUUGUCAGGAACGGCUGAAGGAAUGAAAGAGAGUCUCCUUGGUUCCUCUGCACCAAAAGUACAGGCACAAGAUGGAGUCCUGUGUCACAUCAGCUGAUCACAUGCCUCUGCAUGUUUCAGUGAGUCACAGGAGGGACCAUAAAUUGUAUUCUAGCCAGAAUGUCCCCAGUUGGAGUUCAUUUUUGAAAAUAUGUUUGGCUUCAUUGUGAGGGCUGAGAAUGAUCCUUGCAGGCAGGAGGAUCCCCAGCCGGCCUUGCACCGAUCCCUGAAACGCAGGGGGAAGUCACAGAAGUUGCGAGCCCACCAGUAGACCAGGAUGUUCUGCCUCCCGGUUACCCUCCACUCCUCCAAAACAGCCCUCAUGGCCCAGACGAUGAGAUGGAAGCCUCCCCAGUGCUGGAGAGGGAGCUUCACCUUAUGUUUGAAAUCACAGGUGUCCACCAGAAAAUGGUGAAGCUCAUCCCGCAGCACGGUGGGGGACAGGGUUGCGGACCCAUGAUCAUCAUCUCGCUGGGCCCCUGUUACCACCCUGUGACCGAUGGAGAUGGGCAAAGAGGGGGCAGACCACUGGUGCGGCGAUUGUAACUGUGGCUCUGUGCAACCCGUCUCUGUGCCCGGAAAGUGAUAGGGAGGGAUACGGAGGGAAGAGAGCAGCUCCUAAAGAGUCAGGGAAGGGAGACAAAAAAAAACACCCCCUGAGGUUAGUCCAAGGACAGGGGAAAUGACACAACCCCUGAGUGGCAGCAGUAUAGAAGAUGAAAGGAAAGAAAUGAGGAAUGUGACAGGGGCAGGAGUGGGGCUGGGGCCAGGAACGGGAUUAGGAGCAGGGGCAGAAGUUUGACUGGGAAGCCCAGCAGCAAAGCCAAAGGGAUGUGACACCUCUUGACUGGGUCCAGGGUCUGAGGGGAUGGUAACAGGAGGGGAGACCUCAAUGACUCUGGGCCCAGAGACCACAUGGAACUCUACAACCAAGGUGUGGGACAUGAUGGCAUCUGUGAUGGGGCCCUGAACUGGGAGGGAAGACGGCCACCCCUCCUCUGAAGGGGGCGCACCCAUGGGCUCGCGGCGCAGCUGCUUGGCACAGGUCAUCACCACAAGGGUCUUGGCGGCAGAUGGAUGAAUUCAUGUCUGCCCCAAGUUUGAGAGCAGGGGUAGCAGCCCAGGGUAGGGGAUAGAGAAGAGGAGGGGAUGGUGUGACCAAGCCACCGCCCAGUUUGAGACCUCACCCACAGUUUCUCCCAUCAUUUGGGAAAGGGGCAAGAUGUAACACCAGUGGUAAGGGGGAAUGGAGGGAGUUGGGGAAGGGGAAAGGCCAACCUGUCCUCCUGGCUAGGAUGGGUGCAGGGCA